GGGAGAGUAGCUCAGUUGGUUAGAGCAGCGUGGCCACACAAGUACAAGUUCGAUAGGUCGUAGGUUCGAGUCCUACCUCUCCCA
rnacentral:tRNA from 2 species